rnacentral:tRNA from 1 species
GGGUGGUUAGCUCAGCUGGGAGAGCGCAUGCUUGACGUGCAUGAGGCCACAGGUUCGAGUCCUGUACCACCCACCA